GGUAUUUUUAGCGUGGAAGCUGUUGUGGUUUGUAGCACUUUGCCUUUUGUUUUUCAAGAAAAGAGCUCACAGUUCCCCCCCGGGGCUUCAAGGAUGCAACAGUGCAACCCAGGCAGGUGAUGAGCAAGCCAACCCUGUAACUUCCACACCCAGCCACGGUAAGGAUGCUCAAGGAUGUCACACCACAAUCCGAAGGCUCCCCCAUCCAGACAGCGGGUCCUUGGGUGGCUGCACCACCAGCAAUCUCCGAAGAGUGGGGCAUGUGUGUCAUCUGUUCUGUGGACACUUUAACUACUGCAGGCCAACUUUUGAGCUCAGAAGGAGUCAGCCUACCAGAUCAGUGACAGACAACCCAUACAGGCAGAUUUCACCAAGUGGGAAGCACCAGUGAAGAGCUGCUCUGGAGUGACUUCUCAGGUAUGAGAGACACAGUGAAGGGGAAGUCUGGGGGACAUUUGUGUGGGCAAGCACUGCACAGCCCACAACAUACCUUGGAGGUGAGCCAACAGCAACGGAUGAAAAAUCCUCCAGCACUAAAGCAAGUUUAAAGGUCUCUCAGUGCAUUGCCCUGGGCACAGCAAGCCCCAGCAAUUGCCAAACAAGAUGCCCCACACCAGGGGAACACCAGGGCUCCCUAGACAGAGCAAGAUGGAAUCUUUUGCUCCUCAAGGAGAUGAAAUACAUUUCCAAAUUUAGGACGUCUUCCUGCUCUUAGAUAACAGAUCAAGAUUACAGAAUUAAAGUUUAAAAAAAAAAAAAUCAUGUGAAAGGCUUCAUCCUGUUCAAAGGAAUACAAUGCUUUUCCUGUGAUCUUGCCCUAAGUAUCACAACAUCACACUCAAUUACUCUCCCAUCUUACUCCUAAGUCCUACACAGCCAGUUUGGCUAUAUGAGAGCAAAAUAAGCUCUGCCUUGCCUCAUUUCUCAUUAAACUGCUAACUAUACAUGGCAGUAGCUGUGUAAGAGGCAGGCCAAGUCACUUAAUUUUUAUUACCCUUCACUUGGACCAACACGAUGAAAUUGGAGUGAAAAAUUCAAAAAUAAAAAAAAAACAACAAAACAGGAAGGAAAAAAGGAAUGGAACAGAAUUAUCAGCCUAUACCUCCUACAGACAGAAAAGGAACAUAUCCAAGCCUGAACUGAGGUUUACAUACCCCACACUAGACAGACCUCUCUGUACUAAGCCUUUAGUUAUCAAAAUCUACCAUCUGAACUCCUGAGAAAGCCAGGAAAAGGAGGAAAUGCCAGUUUGCCCCUACAUGUUCAAUUCUGCAGUUGCUGCAGGCAACCUGCUGCUUCUCUGAUAUUGGUGUGCUGGCAGACCCCAGGGACCCUACCCUGUGAGACCACCUGCCAGCCCCCACCUCCAGCUGUGAAGUACACCUGCAUUUAACAUACUGUUUGUACCUUGGCCUUCCAGCCAGCAGGUUCUCUGUAAACCUAAAAGCAUAGGAUGCUGAUUCUUACAGAGCAACAACUUCCCUUAAUGCAGAAGACAAGUUGUGCCAGCAGAGCUUGGACAUGGAUGCACUGGUGCUUGGAUGCAUGCAGACUUUGCAGCUGAUGGUAUCUUUGAAGGAACAAAUCCAGUCUCUAAGUGCUUGCAGCCCUCUCUUCCUCCAGCGGGUGUCCCGGUGACCAUCCUGCCAUACACCUCCAGAGCUGGAAUGCAGCCCCGCUUUGGAGCAGACCAGACUGUGGCUGGCUGGGACAGCUGUAGGAAGGGAUGGAUGCAUUUCUCCUGCUCUCCAUGGGUAAAGGGCUCCCUUUAACAGCAGGCUGCAGAGGAUGUGAGGCAGAUGUGUCUCUCCUGGGGAAGAAGCACAGACUUAAAGCAUCGCUUAGUGGGAGAUUGCAACCCUGGCUCCACUGAAAUGAAUGUGAAUGCUGCUAAUGAAUUGACAAUGCAACUCAGAUUUCCACUGCUCUUCACACAAGGCCCAUCUGAACUAACUUGUAGUGUUUGCUGAAAAAGCUGAGCUUCAGUUCCUUAUGAGUUUUCCAUGCUCAUCUUCUCACUUCCCCCUCUCAAAUUUGCAGAUGGGUUUAAGCACAGCAGUUUCUGCUCUGAACUCUUCUGAAAGCAGUUUGCACCAUCAGGGUUGAGUUUAAUGUAAUGACUACAGGAACCCAACCAGGAGAAAAAAAAUAAUUCAAGAAAUUACAUCCUUCACAGAAUCUGCAGAUGACACGUUCCUCUCAGCAGUACCUAAACUGUUUAAAGGACAGUAGGAGACUCCCAGGAGGAGAUGCAGAUAUUGCCAUCACAGCCAGUACAUUGCCAUGUGGAGAGAUGUGGCAUUAAUCAACCCAUUUUGGCAGCACAAGACAAGCCAGGAUGCAUCACUGUUCCACUAUAUGGGGAACACCCUCAUGUUGUUUCCUCAUGGGGA